rnacentral:rRNA from 1 species
GACGAACGCUGGCGGCGUGCUUAACACAUGCAAGUCGAACGGAAAGGCCCUGCUUUUGUGGGGUGCUCGAGUGGCGAACGGGUGAGUAACACGUGAGUAACCUGCCCUUGACUUUGGGAUAACUUCAGGAAACUGGGGCUAAUACCGGAUAGGAGCUCCUGCUGCAUGGUGGGGGUUGGAAAGUUUCGGCGGUUGGGGAUGGACUCGCGGCUUAUCAGCUUGUUGGUGGGGUAGUGGCUUACCAAGGGUGUGACGGGUAGCCGGCCUGAGAGGGUGACCGGCCACAUUGGGACUGAGAUACGGCCCAGACUCCUACGGGAGGCAGCAGUGGGGAAUAUUGCACAGUGGGCGGAAGCCUGAUGCAGCAACGCCGCGUGCGGGAUGACGGCCUUCGGGUUGUAAACCGCUUUCGCCUGUGACGAAGCGUGAGUGACGGUAAUGGGUAAAGAAGCACCGGCUAACUACGUG